rnacentral:rRNA from 1 species
CCCUUAGAUGUCCUGGGCCGCACGCGCGUUACACUGAUGCAUUCAACGAGCUUAUAACCUUGGCCGAGAGGCCUGGGCAAUCUUGUUAACGUGCAUCGUGAUAGGGAUAGAUUAUUGAAAUUAUUAAUCUUGAACGAGGAAUUCCUAGUAAACGCAGAUCAUCAAUCUGCAUUGAUUACGUCCCUGCCCUUUGUACACACCGCCCGUCGCACCUACCGAUUGGAUGGUCCGGUGAAGCCUCGGGAUUGUGGUUCUUGCCGCUUUGUUGUGGCGUGACCGCGAGAACUUGUCUAAACCUUAUCACCUAGAGGAAGGUGAAGUCGUAACA